UACGUAGGGGGCUAGCGUUGUCCGGAAUCAUUGGGCGUAAAGCGCGUGUAGGCGGCCCGGUAAGUCCGCUGUGAAAGUCCAGGGCUCAACCCUGGGAUGCCGGUGGAUACUGUCGGGCUCGAGUCCGGAAGAGGCGAGUGGAAUUCCAGGUGUAGUGGUGAAAUGCGUAGAGAUCUGGAGGAAUACCAGAGGCGAAGGCGGCUUGCUGGGGUGGAAUGGACGCUCAGACACGAAAGCAUGGGGAGCGAACGGG
rnacentral:rRNA from 1 species